GGGACUAGAUUGAAAAUCGAAUGGAAUGUAACGGUGCAAAAGUCGAAAUAAAGUAAAAUAGGGGACCAUAUUGCAAUGCGCGAAUGAAAUGGAGGGACCAAAAGGAAAAUAUCCCCACCAUCCAAAACGUUGCACUUUACGCGGGACUAAAUUGAAAACCAAAAUAAAUUAUAAGGCGCAAAUUAAAAAUAAAAAGAAACUUAAUUACUAACUAAUUAAAAUGUAGAAGGGCUGAAAGUGCAAUUAGCCCUUACGCUAAAAAGCACGUGGACCUUGGCUAAGCAGGUCGGGUCUUGGGUCGUCCUCCCUUAAACGACACUGUUUUGGCACUUAAAUGGCCAAAAUGAAACGGCGUCGUUUCACCCUAUUAUAAAAGCCAAAUUUCUUUUAAAAAAUAUUUCAUUUCUACUCUUCUUGAAGAAAAAAAUAAAAACCAACCCUCUUAAAUCCUCUCUCCUCUUCAAACUCCGGCCUAGGGAUCCAGUGAAUUCCACGACGGCCCCGGUCGUCGGCGACGGACUCCACAAUCUCCGGUGGUCGAAGAACACCCGAAAGACUCCGUUUUAGCUUUUCCAUUCUUUUUAAAUCCUGAUCUAAGGGCCAAAAAUCCUCCAAAAUCAAAAAAGGAAAAGAAAAUACUAAAGAAAAAAAAAGGCCUUGUUACCAUUGAUGAACCCUUGUCAGAACCCUAGCGGGUUCUUAGGUGUUCAAAGAUCGAAGAAAGUCUCCGACGACGGUAGAAGAUGAAGCAACAGGUAACGUUUUAUUUUUAUUUUUAUUUAUUAUUAUCUAUUUUAAACCGAAACCAAAAAAAUAAAAAAGGAGUUACCUUUGUUUAAUUUUUUUCUCUUUUUUGAUUGUUCUUUUUUUUGUAAUUGAUGCUGUCCAAAAAAUUACAUCGAGGGUUCUUGCUUUUUAUAGCCAUUUGUACAUAUUAUUUUUUAUGUUUCUAUCUUUGUCUUUCCACUGUUUCUGUUCUUUUCUUUCGUCAUUUUUGCAGGUCCAGCGCUCGGUUAACGGAAGGGAGCAGGUGGCCUCUUUGCCUCUUUGGUGAAACGUCAGCAGAAAAGAUGUCAGGCCUCGGGAUGAAACGCGUGGGGCUGAUUAGGGUUUUGAUUUUAUUGAAAUUUAGUUUAGUUUUGGGCCAAUGGGCUGCGUAGGGUUUUUUGUAAAUUGGGCUUGUAUUUUGUUAUUAUUUGGGUCUGUAAUUUUGGCCUGAACUGUUUACAAAUUUGUUUUAUUUUGAGUUUUAUUUAUUUGGUUUUGUUGAUUUUGGGCUUGGACAAAUUGGGCCUAUUACACUACAGUUAGGAACCAUAUCCAAUAUAUAUUUUCCUAACUCAACCACCUUGAUCAAAAUAUCAUCCCAAAGUUUUAACAAGGUUUUUUUUCUAUAAAAAAAAAUGAAAAGAAAACAAAACAUACUCCUUAUCUGUCAUUUCAACAUAAGACGAUGCAAUUCAAUAAUGCUAUUCAUUUUUGCUUGCAUUCUACUCUAAAAAGAAGAGAUAACAAGAAAAAGAAAAUUAAGGAUAUGCAGUCUAAUCACAUUAUUUACAAUAAUAACCCCUACUGAUUUUUUUAAAGUAAACUUGGAAUUUAGUACAUUGUCUUCAAUAUCAAAAUUAUGAGUGAAGCAUAAUGGAUAUCACUUCCGGUCAAAAUUACUAGAAUAAAACACAACAUAUAUAUAUUAUCAUUUACUUACUCAAGGCCUAUCAUAACUUAAAUAUCACGCAUUAACCCAUUUAAAUGUAUCUAUAUAAUUAAACAUGCUAAAUUUAAGAUUUAUCAAUUCCACUUGCCAACAAAAUAUCAAAAUAAGUGGAAAUAUCUACUCUUCCACUUCAAUUUACAAACUUGUCUAUCUCCUUGCUUAUAAUAAUCUCCCUCUCAACUACUUCUUUAGCACGUAUAUAACAUACCUAUUUAUUAACGGUGAUAAAUAGCCACUAAUAUGGCUUAACUACUUAACAAGUUUUUAUAACCUUAAAAGCAUGCAUGAAUAAGAAAAAUGUGGCGUAUGCUCUUACCUCUUCUAAGCCUUGUUCACUCCAACAAAAUUUCCCGCAUAGAAAUACAAACUCUAGAUAGUGGAUGAUGGAAAUGGUCAAGAGAAUGCUUCAAAUGGAGUGUUUUUAGGGUGAGUUUCAAGAGAAGAGGAUGAACUAUGGUGAAGUACUGAAUAGAUUGAAGAGGAAAAAAAAAAAAAAAGGAAGGAAUAUGGCUUUCUUCUCUUGCUCUCUAAGGGUGUCGACCCUAUCAAGGAAAAUAGGGUACACAACCCCUUUCCUUGGCUUUUAUGAAUUUA
rnacentral:lncRNA from 1 species